rnacentral:rRNA from 1 species
UCAGACCAGGAGGACUCCACCACUUUGCGGUGGACCCCCAAUGGCAUAUACUCUGAUGCUUCGGCCUACACGGCCCAGUUCUCUAGAUCCUAUCCCAGGUUCUCCCCAGCCAAGAUUUGGGAGGCACACGCUGAGCCAAAAUGCAAGUUCUUCGCCUGGCUUGUGCUCCACGGGAAAAUCCUCACGGCCGACAUGCUAGCCGUUCAUGGCUGGCCGCACGACCCUCGUUGUCCCCUUUGCCUUGGGGCACCGGAGACGGCCACUCAUCUCUGCAAGGAAUGCUUAUUUGCGCCGCAGUUUGGUCUCACGUCCAGGUGUGGAUGGGACAGGACUCUGGGGCCACGCCCAUGUUGCCCCCUUUGA